GAUGAACGCUGGCGGCGUGCCUAAUACAUGCAAGUCGAGCGAACAGACGAGGAGCUUGCUCCUCUGACGUUAGCGGCGGACGGGUGAGUAACACGUGGAUAACCUACCUAUAAGACUGGGAUAACUUCGGGAAACCGGAGCUAAUACCGGAUAAUAUAUUGAACCGCAUGGUUCAAUAGUGAAAGACGGUUUUGCUGUCACUUAUAGAUGGAUCCGCGCCGCAUUAGCUAGUUGGUAAGGUAACGGCUUACCAAGGCGACGAUGCGUAGCCGACCUGAGAGGGUGGUCGACCACACUGGAACUGAGACACGGUCCAUACUCCUGCGGGAGGCAGCAGUAGGGAAUCUUACGCAAUGGGCGAAAGCCUGACGGAGCAACGCCGCGUGAGUGAUGAAGGUCUUCGGAUCGUAAAACUCUGUUAUUAGGGAAGAACAAAUGUGUAAGUAACUGUGCACGUCUUGACGGUACCUAGUCAGAAAGCCACGGCUAACUACGUG
rnacentral:rRNA from 1 species